CCUACGGGUGGCAGCAGUGAGGAAUCUUCCUCAAUGGGCGAAACUCUGAUGCAGCGACGCCGCGUGAGUGAAGAAGUAAUUCGUUUUGUAAAGCUCUAUCAGCAGGGAAGAAAAUGACGGUACCUGAGUAAGAAGCCCCGGCUAACUACGUGCCAGCAGCCGCGGUAAUACGUAGGGGGCAAGCGUUAGCCGGAUUGACUGGGUGUAAAGGGAGCGUAGACGGCAGUGCAAGUCUGGAGUGAAAGGCGGGGGCUCAACCCCCGGACUGCUCUGGAAACUGUACGGCUGGAGUGCAGGAGAGGUGAGUGGAAUUCCUAGUGUAGCGGUGAAAUGCGUAGAUAUUAGGAGGAACACCAGUGGCGAAGGCGGCUUACUGGACUGUAACUGACGUUGAGGCUCGAAAGCGUGGGGAGCAAACAGGAUUAGAUACCCUGGUAGUC
rnacentral:rRNA from 1 species